rnacentral:rRNA from 1 species
CCUACGGGAGGCAGCAGUGAGGAAUAUUGGUCAAUGGGCGCUAGCCUGAACCAGCCAAGUAGCGUGAAGGAUGACUGCCCUAUGGGUUGUAAACUUCUUUUAUAUGGGAAUAAAGUGCAGUAUGUAUACUGCUUUGCAUGUACCUUAUGAAUAAGGAUCGGCUAACUCCGUGCCAGCAGCCGCGGUAAUACGGAGGAUUCGAGCGUUAUCCGGAUUUAUUGGGGUUAAAGGGAGCGUAGGCGGGUUGUUAAGUCAGUUGUGAAAGUUUGCGGCUCAACCGUAAAAUUGCAGUUGAUACUGGCAGCCUUGAGUACAGUAGAGGUAGGCGGAAUUCGUGGUGUAGCGGUGAAAUGCUUAGAUAUCACGAAGAACUCCGAUUGCGAAGGCAGCCUGCUGGACCGUAACUGACGCUGAUGCUCGAAAGUGUGGGUAUCAAACAGGAUUAGAUACCCGAGUAGUC